rnacentral:rRNA from 1 species
UGCAAGUCGAACGGUGAUGAGGAGCUUGCUUCUCUGAUCAGUGGCGAACGGGUGAGUAACACGUGAGUAACCUGCCCCCGACUCUGGGAUAAGCACUGGAAACGGUGUCUAAUACCGGAUACGAGCUUCAGCCGCAUGGCUAGGAGUUGGAAAGAAUUUCGGUUGGGGAUGGACUCGCGGCCUAUCAGCUAGUUGGUGAGGUAAUGGCUCACCAAGGCGACGACGGGUAGCCGGCCUGAGAGGGUGACCGGCCACACUGGGACUGAGACACGGCCCAGACUCCUACGGGAGGCAGCAGUGGGGAAUAUUGCACAAUGGGCGCAAGCCUGAUGCAGCAACGCCGCGUGAGGGACGACGGCCUUCGGGUUGUAAACCUCUUUUAGUAGGGAAGAAGCGAAAGUGACGGUACCUGCAGAAAAAGCACCGGCUAACUACGUGCCAGCAGCCGCGGUAAUACGUAGGGUGCAAGCGUUGUCCGGAAUUAUUGGGCGUAAAGAGCUCGUAGGCGGUUUGUCGCGUCUGCUGUGAAAACCCGAGGCUCAACCUCGGGCCUGCAGUGGGUACGGGCAGACUAGAGUGCGGUAGGGGAGAUUGGAAUUCCUGGUGUAGCGGUGGAAUGCGCAGAUAUCAGGAGGAACACCAAUGGCGAAGGCAGAUCUCUGGGCCGUAACUGACGCUGAGGAGCGAAAGCAUGGGGAGCGAACAGGAUUAGAUACCCUGGUAGUCCAUGCCGUAAACGUUGGGAACUAGAUGUGGGGACCAUUCCACGGUCUCCGAGU